rnacentral:rRNA from 1 species
AACGCGAAGAACCUUACCUAAGCUUGACAUCCUUUUGACCGAUGCCUAAUCGCAUCCUUCCCUUCGGGGACAAAAGUGACAGGUGGUGCAUGGUUGUCGUCAGCUCAUGUCGUGAGAUGUUGGGUUAAGUCCCGCAACGAGCGCAACCCUUGCCUUUAGUUGCCAUCAUUAAGUUGGGCACUCUAGUGAGACUGCCGGGGAUAACUCGGAGGAAGGUGGGGAUGACGUCAAAUCAUCAUGCCCCUUAUGCUUAGGGCUACACACGUGCUACAAUGGGUGGUACAGAGGGCAGCCAAGUCGUGAGGCCGAGCUAAUCCCUUAAAGCCAUUCUCAGUUCGGAUUGUAGGCUGAAACUCGCCUACAUGAAGCUGGAGUUACUAGUAAUCGCAGAUCAGAAUGCUGCGGUGAAUGCGUUCCCGGGUCUUGUACACACCG